GCACCUGUGCUUGGAAUGACAGACAGGUCACGCUUAGACCGUGAUGCCCGAAAGGGCGUGGGGGUUCAAGUCCCUUCAGGUGCACCA
rnacentral:tRNA from 1 species